GACGAACGCUGGCGGCGUGCUUAACACAUGCAAGUCGAGCGGGAUUUGAGAGCUUGCUCUCAAAUCUAGCGGCGGACGGGUGAGUAACACGUGGGUAAUCUGCCCUCAAGUGGGGAAUAACACAGAGAAAUCUGUGCUAAUACCGCAUAAUGUAUGCUGGUCGCAUGGCUGGCAUAAAAAAGAUCUAUUGCUUGAGGAUGAGCCCGCGGCCCAUUAGCUAGUUGGUGAGGUAAAGGCCCACCAAGGCCACGAUGGGUAGCCGACCUGAGAGGGUGAUCGGCCACAUUGGAACUGAGACACGGUCCAGACUCCUACGGGAGGCAGCAGUGGGGAAUAUUGCACAAUGGGGGAAACCCUGAUGCAGCAACGCCGCGUGAGCGACGAAGGCCUUCGGGUUGUAAAGCUCUGUCUUCGCUGACGAAUAAAUGACGGUAAGCGAGGAGGAAGCCACGGCUAACUACGUGCCAGCAGCCGCGGUAAUACGUAGGUGGCAAGCGUUGUCCGGAAUUAUUGGGCGUAAAGGGUGCGUAGGCGGUCUUUUAAGUGGGAUGUGAAAUACCUAGGCUUAACUUAGGAAUGGCAUUCCAAACUGGAAGACUAGAGUGCAGGAGAGGAAAGUGGAAUUCCCAGUGUAGCGGGUGAAAUGCGUAGAGAUUGGGAGGAACACCAGUGGCGAAGGCGAUUUUCUGGACUGUAACUGACGCUGAGGCACGAAAGCGUGGGGAGCAAACAGGAUUAGAUACCCUGGUAGUCCACGCUGUAAACGAUGAUUACUAGGUGUGG
rnacentral:rRNA from 1 species